rnacentral:tRNA from 1 species
ACCUGGCUGGCUCAGUCAGUAGAGCAUGUGACUCUUGAUCUCAGGGUUGUGAGUUCAAGCCUCAUGUUGGAUG